rnacentral:misc_RNA from 1 species
CUAGAAAUUGCCUAUUGAAGCAUAGACAUUAUAUAUGUAAAGGAUCAGUUUGAAUUACCAAGUAAGCUUAAUAAGCUUCAAUCUAUACCUUGUUAGCAGCCAAAAAGAUUUAUGCUUUCAGUUCUUCAGGUAAGAAAGCUGAUUUAAGAGACUAUUAUAAUUAUAAGCGCCCAUUUAGAAGUUCUAACGUUUUAACCAAGAACAUUAGUCAAAAAAUUCACCACUAAUAGCAUUGAGUGAUAAAAUGUAGAAUAAAUAAAGAACAAAG